GACGAACGCUGGCGGCGUGCUUAACACAUGCAAGUCGAACGAAGUGGCGAACGGGUGAGUAACGCGUAAUCAACCUGCCCUUAAGAGGGGGACAACAGUUGGAAACGACUGCUAAUACCGCAUACUGAAGGAGGGGAAUGAGGCUGGUUAGCAGGGUGGAGGGGGAACGGCCCACCAAGGGGAUGAGCAGUAGCCUGUCUGUGAGGAUGAACGGCCACAUUGGGACUGAGACACGGCCCAGACUCCUACGGGAGGCAGCAGUGGGGAAUCUUCCGCAAUGGACGAAAGUCUGACGGCGCAACGCCUCGUGAGUGAUGACGGCCUUCGGGUUGUAAAGCUCUGUUAAUCGGGACGCGGUACCGGAAUAGAAAGCCACGGCUAACUACGUGCCAGCCGCCGCGGUAAUUC
rnacentral:rRNA from 1 species